rnacentral:rRNA from 1 species
CAUGCAAGUCGAGGGGUAACAGGAAAGCUUGCUUUUGCUGACGACCGGCGCACGGGUGCGUAACGCGUAUGCAACCUACCUCAUACUGGAGCAUAGCCCUUGGAAACGGGGAUUAAUACUCCAUGGUAUCAUGAAUUCGCAUGUUUUCAUGAUUAAAGAAUUUCGGUAUGAGAUGGGCAUGCGUCCCAUUAGCUAGUUGGUGAGGUAACGGCUCACCAAGGCGACGAUGGGUAGGGGGCCUGAGAGGGUGGUCCCCCACACUGGUACUGAGACACGGACCAGACUCCUACGGGAGGCAGCAGUGAGGAAUAUUGGUCAAUGGAGGCAACUCUGAACCAGCCAUGCCGCGUGAAGGAUGACGGCCCUAUGGGUUGUAAACUUCUUUUAUAUGGGAAGAAACUUAUCUACGUGUAGAUAACUGACGGUACCAUACGAAUAAGGAUCGGCUAACUCCGUGCCAGCAGCCGCGGUAAUACGGAGGAUCCAAGCGUUAUCCGGAUUCAUUGGGUUUAAAGGGUCCGUAGGCGGAUUUUUAAGUCAGUGGUGAAAGCCGACAGCUCAACUGUCGAACUGCCAUUGAUACUGGAAAUCUUGAGUACAAAUGAAGUAGGCGGAAUGAGUCAUGUAGCGGUGAAAUGCAUAGAUAUGACUCAGAACACCAAUUGCGAAGGCAGCUUACUAACAUGUAACUGACGCUGAGGGACGAAAGCGUGGGGAGCGAACAGGAUUAGAUACCCUGGUAGUCCACGCCGUAAACGAUCAUCACUCGCUGUUGGCGAUAUACAGUCAGCGGCCAAGCGAAAAGUAUUAAGUGAUGCACCUGGGGAGUACGCC